AACCAGGACUAAACAAAGACUAAACAAAGACUAAACCAGGACUAAACCAGGACUAAACAAAGACUAAACCAGGACUAAACCAGGACUGAACCAGGACUAAACAAAGACUAAACCAGGACUAAACAAAGACUAAACCAGGACUAAACCAGGACUAAACAAAGACUAAACCAGGACUAAACCAGGUCUAAAUCAGGACUAAACCAGGACUAAACCAGGUCUAAACCAGGACUAAACCAGGACUAAACCAGGUCUAAACCAGGACUAAAUCAGGACUAAACCAGGACUAAACCAGGUCUAAACCAGGACUAAACCAGGUCUAAACCAGGACUAAACCAGGACUAAACCAGGACUAAACCAGGAC
ensembl:lncRNA